UGAUUGAGAGUUUUUAUCCAUGGCAUUAUCUUUUAUUGAUCAUAGACAUAAGAAUGUAUACUUGGUAUGCCUUUGAAUAUAUGCACUAUGAAUACCAAGAUUAAAGAAACCACUUUUGGCAUAUAAAAUCAACUCAUGCUAGUAUGUACUUAAUCUCAAAAGACUUUGUCAUUGGCUUACUUAGAUUAAUUUCUGUAAGGUCAAAGUUUGCUAUGCACGUCAUCUAGGAAAACAAACUAGAAUCAUUUCUAAAUCUGAAAACAUUGUUUCCACCUCUUAGUCUUUGAA
rnacentral:lncRNA from 1 species